AACAAGCCAUCAAACUCCAGGAAAUUAAAUCCUCAUACAAGGAUUUUGAUUACCUAUGGCUGUUUUAUUUACAGCAGCAAGCCGACAACUAUUUUACAUAUUCAUUAACAAACCCUUUUGCAUCCUUUUUUUUUUUUGGGGAUUUAUUAAAAACAUCAAGUACAGGCUUUGCUAGGUCCAUGUCCAUGCUGCUUUCUCAUUUGCAGUUGCAUGGAUCACAGCUGCAGCUUGAUCCACACUUGCACCCAUUUCCACUCUCAGCACCAAAGUUCAACUCAGUACCCUCAUAGGACCUGCAAAAACCACACCAGCUCUCAAUUUUUUGUACAAUCAAGAAUCUAACUUCGAUUUGGCUGCGUAAAUAGAAUUUCUCCGAACUUGAUUAGGGUCUCAAAUUCAAACUCAAAAUGAUUGUGAUUCUUACAUCUUAGGAGGUGCAACUCCUGCGAUGAGAGUCUCAGUUCUGGUGUUCUCUGAGAUGUCAGGGUACAUGCCACAGCUGCAAGAAUUCAAGAAGAUGAGGGAAGAAAGAUUAAAGAGAAACUCUUAGGAAGUUUGUUUGGUGCAUGAGAAACAAUUUUCCAAGAAAAAGAAACUCUUACCCGUUGCAGCCGCUGCCGCACUUGCAUCCAGAGCCACAGCCACAGUUUCCUCCGCAGCAAGACAUUUUCUUUAGGGAUUUGGAAGAGGCUUAUCACUUGACAAUUGAAUUCUUCAACUAUAGGAUGAUUCAUAAGGCCCUUGCCUCAGCUCGAAUUUAUCGCGCGGUUGGAGCUGAAAGUCUUUCAUAUCCACCAUACACGUGGAAACAUCUAACGUCAGUAACGUCUGUGUGGCAGGUUCUAUCUCCCCUAGGUAAGAACCGACAAAUCUCUCUCUCUUUGUCUCUCUAACCUUUCUUUCUUUGUCAUCACAAAUCAUAAUAUUUGAAAUAUAUUAAUUAUCUUGCUUAUGACGUGUACGAUAAUUGGUUAGUUUUUUUAUUAAAUCAAUUAAUUGGCUUCUUCUAAACAAAAUCUUAACACCUCUAGUGUUUGAACAAAAUAAAAAAAAUGAUUUCUUUUAUAAUUUUUAAUUUAUAUUAAUAUGCUUGGUAACCCUUCAAAUUGAAUAGAUAAUAUAAUUAAACCGAAUCGAACAUUUAGAAAUAAAAUUAACAACAAAUAGAAAUUAAUUUAGGGUCAAGGAAUUAAUGCUUACUAAAAAAGAAGUAUUACUUGUUUUAAAAAAAAAAGGGUAUUAUUUUUUUCCAGUAGACAAAGUUGUCUGAAUCACAGAGAAAAGGAUGCAAUUAUUUUCUACAAGGAUUAUUAUCACUUUCAUGGAAGAAAUCAAGAGAACAAGUUAAAUUGAAGCCGACAAUUAGAAUAUAUUAUUAUUUUUGGUAACGUAGAACCAUUUUAAAAAUAAGUAAAUACUUUUUCAAUUGAAAUAAGAAAAAAAUAAAAAUAUGUAUGAAGGAUGUAAACGUCAGCUAGAUAUUAAGGCAUGAAUCUUGCAGCUUUGUACAUUAGCAAUUCACUCGCUUGAAUGUAUCAUUUCAUCUUUAACAUUGGCUUUUUAUAAUUCUGGGAUAUAGAUCCUUUUUUUUAAAUUAAAUAUAAAGAAUGCAAAUUAUUACCUUUUUUUUCUAGUUAAUCAUGUUAUGUUGUUUUUAUUUAUUUGAAUGUAAUGAAAAGCAUGCAGUUCUAAACUAGAAUGAAACAAUAGAAUUUUUGACAAGGAAAGUGGGAGAGAGUUACCCUACCCUACUGCUACAAAGAAAGAAGGAUAAAAUCAUAAUGAAAUGGGCAGAGAAUAAGAGGCUUUUGCUUUGGGAAUCCUUCACUUUUGUAGCAAAAAGAGUGGUGCAUGUGAUAUAGCUUUGGUGCUUCAGUUGCAGUGCUAUUUUCUUCAAUCAGAUACCCUGUCUUUAUAUCUAUGUCUAUGUAUAUAUUUUUUUACAAAAAAACUGCCUUUUUCUUCCCAAGCCCAAUGCACUUUUCUUAUCUUCUUUUAUUUGUUUAACAUUUAGGACCUUCAGUUCCUUUUCAGAAGAUCUGUUUCGGCAUUUUGCGACUUGUGCAUGCUGCAGCUGCGGGGGUCCUAAAUGUCUUAAAUGAGCUAAAGACAUGCUUAGAAGCUAAAACUACAACUAUUAGUAGAGCUACAGCCUAAUUUUCAUGGACAGUACACAACUCCACUUUGGUGGGCAUUGAAUUUCCUGUAUCCUUUGAAUGUGUGAAUUCUUCUCUUCCUAACUUCAACAUCUUGUCUACCUUCCUUUUUUUUUCCCUCGUCAAUGAGGGGAUUAUUUUAUUUACUAGCUAUUUAUUGCGUGUUCCCACUAGCUUCAUAAUUCAUCAUUAUUUUGAUCCUCAAAUUCAAAAAGUACCUGUAUUGAAGUAUGAAGAUAGAAGAUAGGAUCUUCCAUAUCUGGGUACAAGCUCCAUCGUUUAGAUAAGGGACUCAUGACAAAACCCACUAUUGUUGAUUUUUCUGCCGCAUUUGUUUUAUGCAAUUCACAUGCAUCAUGCAUGCCCAUCUGAUUUUGGACCACAUACCAGGACAAAAAGAAGUGCAUGAUAGGAAUAGUAGCUCAAGAGAGCUGCCACCAUUGAAUUGGGUCUUUACUCUCACCCAUGGGAAUAUUUAUGAAUGACCUACAUAUAAUGAUUGUGACGAGAGAGGGAGUUUAUCUUUAAAAUAGGACCAUGAUAGUCAACAAAAUAGUGAAUGAGCUUCAUGCUUGAGGUCCUAAGGUAUUAAAAUCCCACUGAUUUUUUUUUUCUAAGACAUUUGAAUCCCAUUUCAUGCAUUAGUGGGGCAUUCUAUCUACUGUCAGGUCUGAUGCUGCUGAGAAGGUUUGGCCGGUAAGAAGCUUAAGAUUAGAUAGAUGUUAUGCUGACGUGCAUAUCAGAUUUCCAUGAUUGAGAUGCGGGAAAUGGGUUGAAAGGACACAGGACUCAAAUGCGGACAACCGGUGGUAGUAGGUAACUCCAACAAGAUUGAUCUCAAUUAGAUAUUAUGGGGCCAGCAGUUAAAUAAAUCAUACAAAGAAACAUGUCAGUUACAUCUGAAAUUUCUAAAAUUCUUGACAAGGAGCACCCAUUGCCGAGGCACCUUCAAUAGCCAACUGCUUGUCCUGCAAUUCCUGCACAAGCUUAGUUUUCAAGGUGCCCCAGGUGCCAUAUGAAACUCGAUAUGCUGGGCAUAAAUUUUUUGUAAAACCUAUCAUAAACAGAACUAGUAUUCCUAUCAAAUUUGUCAUGAACAGUCGAUUUUAACUAAACCAAGUCUCUGCAAUUUCACACUAUCCAUAAGCAUCCUAAGACCAGCUUUUAGUUCUGGUACCCCUUCCUCCAAGACGGCACAAACUGGAUAUAUAGGAACAUCUUGAACUCUUCUUUUCAAUUCUUCAUAUACUUCAUCAGCCCCUGCCUCAUCAAUUUUAUUCGCCACAACUAAGGAGGGCCGAUCAGACAGGCCCUCUUGAUGAUGCUCAAGCUCCAAAACUAAAUCUUUCAAUUGUUCCCACGGUGGAAAUCCCUUUCUGCCAUCUAAUCCAGCAGCCAAGUCUAGCACAUAAGCUAAAACCUUAGUACGUUCAAUGUGCCGUAGGAAAGCAUGUCCAAGUCCACGAUUCUCGUGAGCACCUUUUAUGAGUCCUGGAAUGUCAGCCACUGUGAUUGAGAAGUCAUCAAAAUUCAGUUUUCCUAAAUUUGGCCUAAGUGUCGUGAAGGCAUAAUGACCCACCCUAGGUUUUGCUCUGGAUAAAGCUCCUAAAAGAGUACUUUUACCAGCAUUUGGCAUUCCAACGAGGCCCACAUCAGCAAUGCUUUUCAGUUCCAGCAAAAGAACAGCCUCUGAGCCAGGCAACCCAAUGCUAAGGCAGGAUUGAUCCUCACUGACAUAUCAGGAUCCAAGACCAUAUCCCUAUUGACUCCAGGCUUACUUAACUUGGCCUUCUUUGAAACAUCAGGAGAAGACACAUUACCCAAACCACCCUCCCCUCCACGAGCAACAAUUAUUUGCUGACCCAGUUUUGUUAACUCUGCAACAUCAUAGUGUAUAUGUUCCACACCUGCUGGCUCUCUUUGAAUGGCUUGUAUGCUUGCAAAUUCCUCUGAAGUUCCUUUAGCUUGUGUUAAUGAGCCACCAGAAAUAUCCGAUGGCUCAGCUUCUUUUUCCAUGUUUGUGCUCUUAGAGACAGACUGCCAGUGAGAUUCUGAUUGAUCAGUAUGGAGAGUGCCUGGAAGUUCCCACGGGUCCAAGUCUGUUUUGGAACAGUUUUGGACUGUAGAUGGAAGUUCACCCUUCAAAAGAUGAAUUACAGUCCCGAUAGGUACUUGCACAACCUACUACACACGAGUACUCAUGGUUAGAUAAACUGCCAAACAACAGGUGGCAUCAUAAAAUCUUGCCGUUUAUAGAACUUAUAAAUAGUAACCUUAUCCUCCCCUCGAGUUCCUAUCAUACUCUUUGAAGCUCCAUUCCCCCCUCUCGCUGCAUUCUAUACAAUAAAGGCAGAACUUGAGUGUCCUCAUGCAAUAAUACUAGUAGAGUUGAAAAAAUACUGGAAAGGUAAGGACUACAUACAACAUGAUGGUGUAAACCACUCAAGUCCCAGAUUGCAGGGGAACACUCUAAAAUCACAUCACCACCUCUUCCACCUGUAUUAUUGAAUCCACAUGAACCAGAAUGCUACCAGAAAGACUAUUUCACAAAUUUUAAUGCACUUGCUCGUAAACACCAUGCAAUAAUCAGCUAAAUUUAUGAAGUUCAACGGAAAUAAUGACGAUGAAAGGGAAAAAAUUGAACCCAGUAUGAAGAUUGAGAAACUAGAUAAAUUAUGAUUAAAGAAAAAUAACCAUAAUAAUAUUGUAUCCACUUGGUUUUUAGUAUCACAUCUAGCAUACUUAAUGCUGUUAUAAAACUUGAUCUAAUAAACAUACCAUCAGGUCUGCCGGGGAUCAUGUUGACUUCGGCGAAAACUGGAGCAACCCUUUCCACCAUCACCUCCCUUAGCAUGUAGUGUAAACCUAUCUCUCAUUCUGGUUUCCUACAAAUAGCACCCUAAUAACCCUUUACUAAGAUGAACAAGUAGUAAAAAAAUCAAGAAAUGAUUACACAGAAUUAUGUGAAGCUAUUAGGGUUAUAAAAAUGUGAGAAAUAGGGAAGAAACAAAUAGAUUGGCAGACCUGCAAAGGGGCACACUUUGCUUUUGUGUGAGUAGCGUCUGAACAAGAGAACAAAGACAAAUAGAUCCAUGGAGAUUUAGAAGAUUUUCUCAAGGCAUCUAUGUGGCAAAAGGAUUUUGCGCAGCGUAACCGCAUAACUCUCUUUUUCCUGUCUAGAUAUCCUUCAAAUCCUCCUCAAAUGGAAAAAGUUCGCAUUCAAUUUUUUGCUUAUCUCUGCAACCUAUAGAAAGAAAUAUCUUAGAUACUGAUACAGCAACAGAGACAUUCCUGGAAAAUUGUAAACCAAACCAUGCCACAAUGCAGAUGCUGAACAUGACCCAUACAAGAUAACUAAAGAAAUUGAUAUUUACAGCACUUCACAGCCAGUUCCAACGAAAAGAAUCCGCCUUCCUUUAUUAUAACAUGUCCAGAUAAUCAUAAAAACAAAAUAAGUAUCACUUUUAACAAUCACAUUUACCAAAAUUUGCUAAAUUGUCAGUUGCAAGCAAAGUAAAAGCUUUAUUAAGCCCAACAACUUGUGCCAUAAACAGACCAACAACUGAAACAAUAUGCUAGAAAGGAAUUUGAGAUAACCAAAUAAAAGAUGAAAUAUUCAGGAAUGAGCACAUACAGGCAUCUAAAGGAAACAGACAUUCAAAACAUUCAUCAAAUCAAUAAUCAACAAGAAAAUUGAAUUUUAACAACAAAGAGAGUGGAGAAGGCUAAUAUGGUGUAUUUAACACAAAAUGAAAGAAACUAAAAGACCAAAUUGAUUGAACUUAUAUUCAUCUAAGACCCUUGAAUAAAACUUUCUUUCAGUUUACGGAAAAAAAAAAUUGUUUAGUGAUAAUGAAAACUAAUGGAGUCAAAGGAAAAUGUCCAUUGUUAAAAGAAUUGAACCCAUUCAUAGGAUUCCUCACCAGGCCUUGCAAGGAGUCUCCUUGGCCAUGGUUCUAACAUUAAUGACCAUUCUAAUGCCACCAAUGAGCUUUGGUUUGAUAUUAGGGUCAUCAGCUUGAACCAUUAAAAAAAAGGAACAAAGAAAUAACCAUUCUAAUGUUGUAGGGGGCCAGGGAUUUUAUGGUUACUGUUAGGAUCCCGUGUAGGAUGUAGUUGUGGGUUGUGUGACGAGUCUUUUGGCAAGAUAGGAGAAAACAAGGAUGGAUUUUCUUUUUGCGAUCUAUUUUGAAAAGCUGUCAGGCUUAUCAGGGAGAACAUGCAACCUCUUGAGUUUAAAGUACUCAAAGACCUUUUUGAAAUUUUUUUAGCUAACGUUUAUUAACCUGCUGUCAAUUUAAAUACAAGUUGGAGUUUUAACUCUCUCCUAAAAAAUAAGAACUUAAAAUAGCAUAAUAGAAGCUAACCUCGUACAAAUCAGAAUUUGAAAAUAACUAAAAAAAAUAUGGAAAUAACUAAAUAACUAAACAAAAUAUGCUGGUAACAUCAUAAGACCCAUGAUCUUAGCCACUAUCCAUUACUAUGCAUAAACUCAUAAUCUAUGCCACUAUCCAUUGUUGAAUAACUAUCCAUUAUUGCAUCAAUGACGAAGAAUCUAUUGGAAUGGUGGUUUGCUAACAUUAGUCCCCUCUUCCACUAUGCACUUGUCUUCAAGCGCAAGCUUAGGAAAUUUCUAGGAACUAUUUAGCCAGUGGCUGGUCUAUUGUGACAUCUCCUGGGUCAUCAUCUGCUAACUCCAACUAACUCCAACCAGAAUAGUUUUUUGCACCAGUUUUUGAAAUAUUCCCAUGUCAAGUUCGGAUAGUCUUGUAACAAUUGUAGGAACUAUAGUUGUGUUAUACCCUCCAAGUGAAAUGAAGCUAGAUUAACCUUCUUCUCUUUUGAAGUUUGUUAAUGUUGGAAAAAUUGAUCAUAUCUGUUGAGCCACCCUAAAGGAUCCUCCCGUCCAUUGAAACGGGUAAAUUUUGAAACAAUGGUACUUCUACUUGAAUUUUCAGAACCUAUUACUCCUUUGGCCUUUUGGGUGCGAGAGUGACUACCAAUUUUUGUGAGUUGUGCUGAAUUGACGAUAUCACAAGUGAGAGCUUCUAAUUUUUAAUUUAAUUCAUCAUGCCAGGCCUUAUUGGCGGCUUGCUCUUCUAAGAACAAGGUGAGAAUUCUGCCAAAUUGUUGCUGGAUAGAAUCCCCAUAAUCUCUAGCUCUGAUACCAAAUUGUUAGGAUCCCGUGUGUAGAAUCUAGUUAUAGGUUUGUAUAAUGAGUCUUUUAGCAAGAUAGGAGAAAGCAAGGAUAGAUUCUCUUUUUACAAUCUAUUUUGAAAAGUUGUCAAGCUCGUCUGAGAGAACCUGUAACCUCUUCAGUUUAAAGUACUAAAAGACUUUUUGAAAAUUUUUCUAACUGACGUUUAUUAAUAUGCUAUCAACUUCAAUACAAGUUGGAGUUUUAACUACAUCCUAACAAAUAGAAACUUAAAAUAGCACAAUGGAGACUAACCUCCUACAAAUCAGCAUUUGAAAAUAAAUAAACAAAACAUAGUGGUAACGUCAUAAAACCCGUGUUCUUAGCCACUACAUAUUACUAAUGCAUAAAUACAUAAUCUACGCCACUACCCACUACUGAAUAACUAUCCACUGAUGCAAACUACCCAUUGUUGCAUCAGUGACGAAGAAUCUGUUGAAUUGGUGGUUUGCUAAUAGUUACCUACUGAAAUUCAAGCAUUUUUUUAAUGGCACAACAAUAUUCUUCCACCUUCUUCGAAACGAAGGGAUGGAAAGGAAUUCAUCAGGAUGAUUGAAAGACAAUUAUCAACGUUGAUACAAUACUGAGAGAUACUUCUGGCUUGACUUUUAGCAGCUGAACAGCACACAAGAGACAGAAAUGUUGUCGUAUUAUUGUAAACAAGUUCAAUGCCGUCCCUGAAUCAAUUCCAGAUUGGGUAUUUGAUUUAUGACUAUGAAAGGUGGAUAUUUCAUUGCGAAUUAGCAAGAAUGGGUUUUAGAUGGUUUGCUUUCGAUAAUUGUGUUUGCCAUAUUAUCUUCACUUGGAACUCAAGAGUCAAUCCAUAGCCAAUACAGGUGAGCAGUGCUCAGUUCAGUCCAGACUAAAAAUGAGUAAAAAGCUGAAUCUAAUAGGAAAUAAAAUCAAACCGAACAAAGAGAAAAAAUGAUCUCAACUGGUUUAGUUUGGUUUGGUUCAUCUGUUUUACUUUUUCUUAUCUAUUUGCAGAACCCAUUUUCCUUUAGAAAAGGAAAAAAAUUAUACAAUACUCCCUGUACACUAAAAAUUAGUACUCAUCCUCAUAAAAAAUUAGUUAUUCCUAAAAUAAAAAAAGUGCCCUUAUACAAUUGUGCUUGUGCAGCUGGAGCUGCUAAUAAUCUCUCUUAGAGAAGAUCCAAGCAACAAGAGAGCAGCAAUUUCAGCUUUCAACUUAAACAUAGAAUAUUGUGUAUGUCUAGUUCUAACAAACAGAGCAUGUCAGAUACUAUAGUUGUACACAUAAACGGCAAUCCAUCUUGUCAUUUUGAUUACGAUAUUUGAAUUUUUACAAGGAAAACAAACAAAACACAACGAAAAUCAAAACCGAAACAGCAGAACCUCAGCUCAAUAUCGCACACAAGACUCGAAGCGCAAAGAAAACUUGAGAAAUGAUUCAGAAAAUUGAAAGAAAAUCUGGGUAGAGAAGUGAAGCAAAUGAGGGAAAGAGUGUUGACAUUUUAAAGAUGCUACAAAGGAAUUGAGUGAAACCAGGAACAGCAAAGGGUAAUGAUCGAUGAAACAACUGAACUUGGAGAGCCACAGACAGAAAAUAUGAACACUGGAGCUGCUUGUGUCGUUGAUGGAGGUAGUCGAGUUCAGAGGCCGUACAAGUGGUCCUUCGAGAGAAGAUAUUGAGAAAGGGAAGGAGAAUUGUUUGAUUAUAUAUUCUCACUUCGUCACCAAGAAAAACAAACUAUCAGUAUAUAGAAAUGUAAGUUUGUUUCAUCAUCUAUCAAAGCAAAUCAAAGUAAAAGUACCUUUCUUUGGAGAAAGUAAUUGGAACAUAAAUAGACAUCUAAAACUCAGUUUUAUUUCCAUAUCCUCAGAAACCGGCUCAUCUAAUUAAUUCACUUAAACAAUUAAACAAACCCCUAAUAUAUUUAGAAGAAGAGAAAGACAAAGAAACCUCAAGCGCGCGUUUGUUCAAUUUGAGCUUCCUCAAGCUGUUAAUGGCGUGAAAAAUGUCACCUCGAUAAAUUGGAAAGCCUUCGCGCAUCCAGCUUUGAUAGGCUAAACCAACCGAUUCUCCUCUAGCAAGCUUCUCAAUUCUCAAAGAUAAGCUCUUGGGUGCUUCUUGUUCUUCUGGUUCUAAUAUCUUCUUCUCGGGCGAACAAUUGCUAGUGUAGGUACAGAGAAAAUCGAAAUUGCGAGGAAUUUGGUAGAGAGGCGGACAACUGAUAGAAAGUGUUCGAUGAAUUGCUUGACAGAACCAGCGUCGGCCCAGAACGGCCAGCGCACGCAUGCUUCUUGUCCUUUUCGGGACCUGAAAGCGCGCUUACGCAAAAGAGCCAGAGAUCUUAUUUGAAAAAAGAUGCCGCCACAUGCAAAUGCUAAGAGCCCAAAGUCUUGCCCAGAAGAGAAACCAAAAUUGACGCUUAGCUGCCUACAAUCCAGCCCAGAAGAGAAACCGAAAUUGAAGCUUAGCUGCCUACAAUCCAGCCCAAGUCCUUUUCUGGGAUAUUUUGUCCACGCCAUUAAUAUUUAUAUAAAUUAUUGAAAAUUAAUAUAUGGAUGCAAAGUUCAAUGGAAAUUUGGAAUUGCAUUCUGCUCCCUAAAUUUCAUUGUGGAUAGACAAUUUUUAUUUAUCCAUGAAUCACAAAUGGGUUUGAUAUUUAUUCUCAAAUUUCUUAACAUUUAAAUAUCAAAUUUGAGAUACUAUAAGCACUAAUUAUCUUGUUUUUUUUCUUUGUGAUAGUGAUGAAGAAUAAUAAUGCAAUCAAAACAGAAUCGUAUGCCAUCUUUUCCUUUUUGUAUGGACGUAAACCACAGAAAAUCAUUUUUUAUAUUGUUUCUCCAAGUCCUUUUAUUUAUUACAUUUCAGGUAAUUAAUUAGAAAAAUAUCAUCAAUGAAAUUUAAACUCUAAAAUUUUAAUUAUCAUCAUUGAUUAAACUCUAUUUGACAAUACUAAUUGAUAUAAUAAUUGUUAUUGUCAAUAUAAUUAUUUAGAUAAUAGUUAAUCAAAUAUUAGAAUAAAUAAAUUUUCACAAUUCAGUUUCUUAAUCACUGAUUAUUAAAUAUUAUUUUGAAAAUUAUCACCGAGCAAACGCUUGGAGUUGUACAAUGUGGUGUGUAGGAUACAUGAUUGGUUUUGUAAUUAAUCAACUCAACAAGGGAAGAUAAACUAAUGGGUAAAAAGGUCAUCAUUAAUUCCAAGAUUGCCCUCUGCUGAACAAAGCCAAAGAAUAAAAAUAUAAAAAAGUAGGUUGAUGUAAUGUAAAGUGGAAAAGAAAUUGCAUCGCUUUGUAAUCAAGAUUACAAUGACAAAGAAAAAUGAAUUAGUGGCCACAUUGGAUUAGUAGAAUUUAGGUCAAAUCUAAUUAAUGGCCAACUAAUUUUUUUUUAAAAAAAAAAAAAAAUCAAGAACCCUUGCCAAAAAAGCUUUCUGUAGUAGUCCUUCAUGAUUGCUCUUUUUAUAGGUUCAUGUUGCCCCCUUUCCCCAACUCAGUCCAAAAUUUUCUGCUCCUGUAGUUCAACCUAAAAUUUCUAUUUAUCCACCCUUUUUUUCAUUCAUUUAUUUUAAUACUCUAUUUUUUUUCGUUUCUCAUUUUAUUUAAUAAUUAUAAUUGAGAAUUUCAUUUAUGGGAUUUAUUGAUAAAAAAAUUUAAUAAAAACUUUUUAACUUGUAUGUUUUUUGGGUAAUGUUGUGCCUGUGCGAAUUGUGAAUUUAACUUUUCAUGAAAUUUUAUGUUAUUACAUUCUGUGGCUAUGUGUGCAUGUUAUUAAUAAACUUUAUAUAAAAAUUAAGAAAAUAAAUUAAUUUCAAGUUUCAACUUCAAUACAAAGUGAUAUUGAAAGUGAUAAUCGAUCAUUCAUCAGGAAAGGAAAAAGGAAUUUAUCCGUUAACAUUAAUAUCUGGCUCUAUAUAUCAUCGUGAAUUAAUAUGUAGGCAAUGAUUUGGAUUUGUUUAUCUAGUUUGAUAAUAUAUAUAUCUUGCAAAUAAAAAAAAAUCCCUGUGAACUACUUCCAAAAUUUAAACUCUAGAUAGGAGUAAAUGCAGUGCCAACUUAACUGAUUUUGGAGUGUUUGAAAUAUUGGGUAAAACAAUAAAACCUGAAUCGUGUUGAACACUGUCUUUAAAGAUUUAUUUUAUGAUCCCCCAGGAUUAAACAAGUUCUUCUGAAAUAUACUUCUCAGGAUUAGAACAACAAGAAUUUAUCUCGAAUUUAUAACCCAGCAGGUAACAUAGAGAAAAUAAAUAAUAAAGAAGAAAAUUGGGAGUUUAUAUCUUUGUAAAGAGGAACACUAUUUAUUGUGGAAAACUUGACCGCUAUAUAUGGUUAUAAGAAUCUUGAAAUAAAAUCAUAACGGUUAUAUUUAAUAUUAUAUUUAAAUCUCAUAAAUAAAAUAUUUAAUGACCAUAAAAUCUUUAAUUACCAUAAAAUAUUUAACGACCAUAAAAUCUUUAAUUACCAUAAAAUCUCUAAUGACUAUAAAAUCUUUAAUAACUAUAAAAUCUUUUUGAAAUCUAAACUAAUUUUACAACAAUCCCCCACAGAUUUCAAAAGAUUUUCAUUGCUGGAUUUAGAAAUUUAGAGUGUAUGUUUCGAAUCUGGUGUCUUUUAUACUAUGAACCAGACCUAAAUUAAUAAUACUUAAUAUACAGAGUAAUUGGUGAAACUUUUGUUUCUAUGUACCAAAACUCUUUUUUAUAUGUUAAUUUCUCAUCAAUCUCAUAAUACUCCACAGAUCUUGUUGUCAACGCCGUUUUGCACUAAUAGGCCAUGCGCGCGCCUGGUAAUUCAUAAGUGCUCUAGAGAUUAUGCCACAAUCUCAUAGAAGCGGCCCCACUCCACACUUAUAUAGGUGAUAUCAUCAAGUGUAUACUGCAAUUUAUACACCACCCACAAGGGAUAUGAAUAUCAUUAAAAGAUUUCAUCUCAUCCUCUCAUUAAUGCAGUCUAGUACUUCUCACACCAUAGAAAGGGACAACAAUAAAUAGUGCUAUCAGAAUUAGAAGGUGAUUUGUUAUUACCCAUAUGAACCUUUUUCAUGGGAUCUCUAAUCGCAAAGGUUGGGUUACCAUCACUGUUAAUUUCAAACUGGCUUAGGUCCCAUUCCUCUCGAUGUUUCAUCUAUUAGUUUUCUCUCUAAAGAUUUAGUCAGAGAAUUGGCCAAAUUCACUUCUGACUUCACAUAAUCAAUGAAAAUAGUUCCAUCUUUCAGUAACUGCUUAACAACAUUAUGUCUCAGACGAAUAUGUUUAUUCUUACCAUUGAAAGUUUUAUUCUUUGCAAUGGCUAUUGCCGCUUGACAAUCACAACGCAUUGAUAUAGAUGGUGUUGAUAAAAAAUUCACUAAAUGCAACAAACUCCCAAUGAUCUAUGCAUAUUCAGACUCCAAUUUUCUUUAAUUGACAAUUAGGAUCAUAAGGGGUAGUUACUGGUUUAACAUUGAAAUGUCCAAACUUCCUUAGAAGCUUCUCAACAUAAUGCUCUUAUGAUAGCAUUGGACUAUCAUUCUUCCUUACGAUUCUAACUCUCAAAAUCACAUUUGUCUAUCCCACAUCUUUCAUAUCAAAUUUAGAGGCAAUGAAAGUUUUUGAUUUACAACUAUAUCAUAAUUUGUACCAAAAGUAAAUGCAUAUGAACAAAUAAUCACAGAUUCAUAAUUUAUACGUUCUGUAUAUACGCACUUAUCAAUCAUUUAUACAUUUUGUAUAUACACACUUAUCAACUUCAACAGAGAUAAAACCAUCAUUCAACAAAACUUAAUCAAAUUUCUCAUGCCACUGUUUGGAAACUUGUUUUAAACCAUAUAAUGAUCUAAGAAGUUUGCAGACUUUAUUUUCUUAACAAAAAAUAAUACAAUCAUUAGGUUGAACCAUAUAAAUUUCUUCUUCCAAGUCUCCAUUUAAAAAUGUUUUAACAUCCAUUUGAUAAAUAACAAGUUUAUGCUUAAAACCUAAAGCAAUUAAUACUUUAAUAGAAGAGAUUAUGUUUCAGGAAGUUAAAACAAGUGUAUGUAUAGAAGCUAAAGCAAACUUAUGAACUUGAGUUUAUAGGUUUCAGCAUAACUUAUAAACAUGCAAUCAAAAGUUUUUGAACAUAUUUUUCAUUUCUUAGGAUCAGGAAGAAUUGCUUUAGCAAGACACCCCCACACUUUUAAAUAUUUUAAAUUAGGUGUAUAACCUUUCUAAAGUUCAUAGGGUAUUUUAUCGGUUUUCUUAUAGGGUAUCAUAGUUUGUAGAUAACAAGCAGAUAAUAAAACUUCCCCCAAAAGUUAUUAGGUGAAGAAUAACUUAUUAAUAAAACAUUCAUCAUUUCUUUUAAUAUUCUAAUUUUUCUUUCCACUACUCCAUUGGAUUCAAGUGAAUAGGGUGGAAUAAAUUCAUAUAUGUUUCAGGAAGCUAAAACAAGUGUAUGUAUAGAAGCUAAAGCAAACUUAUGAACUUGAGUUUAUAGGUUUCAGCAUAACUUAUAAACAUGCAAUCAAAAGUUUUUGAACAUAUUUUUCAUUUCUUAGGAUCAUGAAGAAUUGCUUUAGCAAGACACCCUCACACUUUUAAAUAUUUUAAAUUAGGUGUAUAACCUUUCUAAAGUUCAUAGGGUAUUUUAUCGGUUUUCUUAUAGGGUAUCAUAUUUUGUAGAUAACAAGCAGAUAAUAAAGCUUCCCCCAAAAGUUAUUAGGUGAAGAAUAACUUAUUAAUAAAGCAUUCAUCAUUUCUUUUAAUAUUCUAAUUUUUCUUUCCGCUACUCCAUUGGAUUCAAGUGAAUAGAGUGGAAUAAAUUCAUAAAUUAUUCCUUCUUUUUUCACAAAAGUCAUUAAAUAAGAUACAUUCUCCACCUCUAUAUGAUUUUUUUUUAAAUUUUAAUUUUCCUCUUUAAUUGAUUCUCUACUCCAACUUUACACAAUUGAAAUAUAUCAAAUGCUUCGUCUUUGUUUCUGAGCAAAUAUACUUUAGUAUAUCUAGAAUAGUCAUCAAUAAAAGUUACAUAAUAUAUAUAUAUAUUUUUUAUUAAUAUAAGAAGCACUAACAUGUCCUAAUCUAACAUGCCAUAAAUCAAAAGAAUCAAGCAAAAAAGCACAAGAUGAUGUAUUUCCAUUUAUUAUUGCAAAAAUAUUGAGAAUAAAGAGUCUCUGAUUACAAUAACAUUUUUCAAUAAAAAUAUCAUUUUUAGUCAGUAUAAUUUUGUCUAACUCAAAGGACACCUUAAUCUCAUCAUUUCUCAAUAGUGUUACAGAAAUUAAAUUAGCUCUCAUAUUGGAUACAUGAAGUACCUCAUUAAGUGCCAAUGUCUUGUCAGAUGUGAGUUUGAGAAAAACUUUCCCUUUACUAAGGACACUUGCAGUCCUAGACUCACCCAAAUACACAUGUUCUUUUCCUUCCCCCACUAUAAAGUAGGAGGUAAAUGCAUUUCUGUUUGUACAAAUAUGCCUAGUAGCACCAAAAUCUACUACCCAUUCUAGCACAUUAGCUACAAGAAAAGUUUGAGAAAUAACCGCAGCAACAAUGUCAUCUCCUUCAACUAAAUUCAUUUUUGGUUUAGGAGGAUUGUCAUUUAUCACUCUUUUCCUUUUAAAGAUGAGAUUAUUAAACUUGAGUUUAUAAUCAGAUUUCUUGUUUUCAUACCUGUUAUUUGAUUUGUGCACUUUUUCUUUGUACAAGAUUUGCUCUUGUAGCCAACAUCCUUAGCAGUAUAUUUCAAGUUCAUUGAAUCUCAUAUUUUUUCAUUGAAUCCCAUAUUUCAUUGAAUCUCAUAUUUUCUUGGCUUCCUUGUAGGAACAGUAGUUAUCAAAGAAAUGGUUAAAAAGAGUACUGAUAAUUGUAUACCUACAUACCUUAUUAGAAUAGACCCAUAUUUCAUGCAAUUUUGGAUCAACAGCAGGUACAUGUCUUGAUUCUCAAUUUUUGAGAUGUGAGGACAGUAGACAGAAGAGACCCACCAUUUGCAAAAGUAAGAAGCGUGGCGGCGGAAAGAACAACAGAAGUAGUGGUAGUUAUAAUGUCAUUGGAGUAGGCAGUGCAGAAGCAAAGGCAGUGACAACAUUUGAUUCCAUUUGUGUAAAGAUAAAUCCUUAAGAUUGUUGAAAAUAUUGGAUAAAACAAUAAAACCUGAGUCGUGUUGAACACUGUCCUUAAGAAUUUAUUUUGUAAUCCCCAAAAUUAAACAGGUUUUUCUGAAAUAUACUUUCCAAGAAUCAAGACAACAAAAAUUUAUCUGAUUUAUAAUCUAGCAGGUAACACAGAAAAAAAAAAUAAUAAAAAAAAAUUGAGAGUUUAUAUAUUUGUAAAGACGAAAAUUAUUUAUUAUGAAAAUUUAACCGCUAUAUAUGAUUAUAAAUAUUUUAAAAUAAAAUCAUAACGGUCAUAUUUAAUAUUAUAUUUAAAUUUCAUAAAUAAAAUAUUUAAUGAUAAUAAAAUUUUUAAUGAAUAUAAAAUAUUCAACAAUUAUAAAAUUUUUAAUUAUCUUAAAAUUUUGGACUAUCAUAAAAUCUUCUAAACUAAUUUGUUACUUCACGAGUUGGUAGACCAAAUCUAGAUUGUUUUUCAGUAGGUGUUUGGGAGACGUCAUCAUCACCUGCCUCCGGGGUUUCAAACUCAAGAUUGACAAAUAAACAGAGGUUUGCGCUUUUUUUGGGACUCAACCUAACAUGGGGAAGGGAGGAAAAUAGAAACCUGAUUAUCGGGGAUUCCACGCACUCUUCCGGUCAGUGGUAGGCAAGUUAGUUUAGAUGAAAUCAUAAUAAAAUCUUUAUCAUCAAAUCAAUAGCAUAAGUAGUUAUGAAACUCAACAAAUUGAAGUCGAUUAUAACAGAUAAUUAUAGAAAAGAACGAAAGAGGAGGUGGGAAAAGUAGAUCAUAUUUAAGUUAAAAGGAGUUAUAACCAUAGACAACAACACUAAUCGAGUUCCCCUUCCAAAAGUACACAGAAGACCAAGUUAAGACCAGCAAAGCAGAAACACUUAACACAUAAAACAAGCCAUUCAGGAAAUUAAAUCCUCAUACAAGGAUUUUGAUUACCUAUGGCUGUUUUAUUUACAGCAGCAAGCCGACAACUAUUUUACAUAUUCAUUAACAAACCCUUUUGCAUCCGUUUUUUUGGGGAUUUAUUAAAAACAUCAAGUACAGGCUUUGCUAGGUCCAUGUCCAUGCUGCUUUCUCAUUUGCAGUUGCAUGGAUCACAGCUGCAGCUUGAUCCACACUUGCACCCAUUUCCACUCUCAGCACCAAAGUUCAUCUCAGUACCCUCAUAGGACCUGCAAAAACCACACUAGCUCUCAAUUCUUUGUACAAUCAAGAAUCUAACUUCGAUUUAGCUGCGCAAAUAGAAUUAUAGAAUUUCUCCGAACUCAAUUAAGGUCUCAAAUUCAAACCCAAAAUGAUUGUGAGUCUUACAUCUUAGGAGGUGCAACUCCUGCGAUGAGAGUCUCAGUUCUGGUGUUCUCUGAGAUGUCAGGGUACAUGCCACAGCUGCAAGAAUUCAAGAAGAUGAGGAAAGAAAGAUUGGAGAGAAAAUCUUAGGAAGUUUGUUUGGUGUAUGAGAAACAAUUUUCCAAGAAAAAGAAACUCUUACCCGUUGCAGCCGCUGCCGCACUUGCAUCCAGAGCCACAGCCACAGUUUCCUCCGCAGCAAGACAUUUUCUUAGGGAUUUGGAAGAGGCUUAUCACUUGGCAAUUGAUUUCUUCAACUAUAGGAUGAAUCAUAAGGCGCUUGCCUCAGCUCCAAUUUAUACUGCAGUUGGAGCUGAAAGUCUUUCAUAUCCACCAUACACGUGGAAACAUCUAACGUCAGUAACAUCUGUGUGGCAGGUUCUAUCUCCCCUAGGUAAGAACCGACAAAUCUCUCUCUAUCUCUCUCUAACCUUUCUUUCUUUGUCAUCACAAAUCAUAAUAUUUGAAAUAUAUUAAUUAUCUUAACAAAAUCAAUUAAUUGGCUUCUUCUAAACAAAAUCUUAACACCUCUCGCGUUUGAACAAAAUAAAAAAAAUGAUUUCUUUUAUAACUUUUAAUUUAUAUUAAUAUGCUUGCCAACGCUUCAAAUUGAAUAUAUAAUAUAGUUAAAACGAAUCCAACAUUUAAAAAUAAAAUUCCAUUUCAAAAAAAAUAAAAAAAUAAAAUAAAAUUAACAGCAAACAGAAAUUAAUUUAGGGUCAAGGAAUUAAUGCUUAUUAAAAAAGAAGUCUUACUUUUUUCCAGUAGACAAAGUUGUCUGAAUCAUAGAGAAAAGGAUGCAAUUAUUUUCUACAAGGAUUAUUAUCACUUUCAUGGGAGAAAUCAAGAGAACAAGUUAAAUUGAAGCCGACAAUUAGAAUAUAUUAUUGUUUUUGAUAACGUCGAACCAUUUUUAAAUUAAAUAAAUAAUUUCUCAAUUGAAAUAAGAAUAAAAUAAAAAUAUGUAUGAAUGAUGUAAACGUCAGCUAGAUAUUAAGGCAUAAUCUUGCAGCUUUUUACAUUAGCAAUUCACUCGCUUGAAUGUAUCAUUUCAUCCUUAACAUUGGCUUUUUAUAAUUCUGUAAUCUAGAUCUUUUUUUUUAAUUAAAUAUAAAGAAUGCAAAUUAUUACCUUUUUUUUUUCUAGUUAAUCAUGUUAUGUUGUUUUAAUUUUUUUGAAUGUAAUGAAAGCAUGCAGUUCUAAACUAGAAUGAAACAAUACAAUUUUUGACAUGGAAAGUGAGAGAGAGUUACCCUACCCUACCCUACUGCUACAGAGAAAGAAGGAUAAAAUCAUAAUGAAAUGGGCAGAGAAUAAGAGGCUUUUGCUUUGGGAAUCCUUCACUUUUGUAGCAAAAAGAGUGGUGCAUGUGAUAUAGCUUUGGUGCUUGAGUUGCAGUACUAUUUACUUCAAUCAGAUACCCUGUCUUUAUAUCUAUAUCUAUGUAUAUAUUUUUUUACAAAAAAUCUGCCUUUUUCACCCCAAGCCCAAUGCACUUUUCUUAUCUUCUUUUAUUUGUUUAACAUUUAGGACCUUCAGUUCCUUUUCAGAAGAUCUGUCUCGGCAAUUUGCGACUUGUGGAUGCUGCAGCUGCUGGGGUCCAAAAUGUCUUAACUGAGCUAAAGACAUGCUUAAAAGCUAAAACUACAACUAUUAGUAGAGCUAGAGCCUAGUUUUCAUGGAUAGUGCACAACUCCAGUUUGGUGGGCCUUGAAUUUCCUGUGUCCUUUGAAUGUGUGAAUUGUUCUCUUCCUAACUUCAACAUCUUGUCUACAUUCCUUUUUUUUUCCCCUCGUCAAUGAAGGGAUUAUUUUAUUUACAAGAUAUUUAUUGCGUGUUCCCACUAGCUUCAUAAUUCAUCAUUAUUUUGAUCCUCAAAUUCAAAAAGUACCUGUAUUGAAGUAUGAAGAUAGAAGAUAGGAUCUUCCAUAUCUGGGUACAAGCUCCAUCGUUUAGAUAAGGGACUCAUGACGAAACCCACUAUUGUUGAUUCCUCUGCCGCAUUUGUUUUAUGCAAUUCACAUGCAUCAUGCAUGCCCAUCUGAUUUUGGACCACAUACCAGGACAAAAAGAAGUGCAUGAUAGGACUGGUAGCUCAAGAGAGCUGCCACCAUUGAAUUGGGUCUUCACUCUCACCCAUGUGAAUAUUUAUGAAUGACCUACAUAUAACGAUUGUGACGAGAGAGGGAGUUUGUCUUUAAUCAACAAAAUAGUGAAUGAGCUUCAUGCUUGAGGUCCUAAGGUAUUAAAAUCCCACUUUUUUUUCGAAGACAUUUGAAUCCCAUUUCAUGCAUUACUGGGACAUUCGAUCUAAUGUCAGGUCUGAUGCUGCUGAGAAGGUUUGGCCGGUAAGGAGCUUAAGAUUAGAUAGAUGUUAUGCUGACGUGCAUUUCAGAUUUCCAUGAUUGAGAUGCAGGUAAUGGGUUGAAAGGACACAGGACUCAAAUGCUGACAACCGGUGGUCGAGUCCUUUUCAACGCAAAUGAAAAAUCAGAUGCUCAUAUGGUCCGCCCACCCCCCUAAAAAAAAGAGAAGAUGGCCCCAUUCAGACAAAUGACAGCUAUUUUAAAUGGUCCAUCAAAUCUCAGAUCAGAGCGUUUAGUGGAAAUGUACCACCGGUGAGGCACCAGCUAAUUUAUCACCACUUCAAGAAAAAUAUGAUUAAAAACAACAGAAAUAAGGUAAAUGCACGUACAAAUGCUCAAGUCAAAUGAACCAAAACAGUCCCGAGACGUUCCACCUUUCUCGUUGAAAUAAAAAAGACACGGCAAGUCGGCAACGCAUGCACGCAGCAUUCAAAGAACUUCCACCAGUGUAACAAGUAUCUGGAGGUGGUAGUAGGUAACUCCAAUAGGAUUGAUCUCAAUUAGAUAUUAUGGGGCCUGCAGUUAAAUAAAUCAUACAAAGAAACAUGUCAGUUACAUCUAAAAUUUCUAAAAUUCUUGACAAGGGGCACCCAUUGCAGAGGCCCCUUCAAUAGCCAACUGCUUAUCCGGCAAUUCCUGCACAAGCUUAGUUUUCAAGAUGCCCUAGGUGCCACAUGAAACUCGAUAUGAUGGGCAUAAAUUUUUUGUAAAACCUAUCAUAAACAGAACUAGUAUUCCUAUCAAAUUUGUCAUGAACAGUCGAUUUUAUCUAAACUAAGUCUCUGCAAUUUCACACUAUCCAUAAGCAUCCUAAGACCAGCUUUUAGUUCUGGUACCCCUUCCUCCAAGACAGCACAAACUGGAUAUAUAGGAACAUCUUGAACUCUUCUUUUCAAUUCUUCAUAUACUUCAUCAGCUCCUGCCUCAUCAAUUUUAUUCGCCACAACUAAGGAGGGCCGAUCAGACAGGCCCUCUUGAUGAUGCUCAAGCUCCAAAACUAAAUCUUUCAAUUGUUCCCACGGUGGAAAUCCCUUUCUGCCAUCUAAUCCAGCAGCCAAGUCUAGCACAUAAGCUAAAACCUUAGUACGUUCUAUGUGCCGUAGGAAAGCAUGUCCAAGUCCACGAUUCUCGUGAGCACCUUUUAUGAGUCCUGGAAUGUCAGCCACUGUGAUUGAGAAGUCAUCAAACUUCAGUUUUCCUAAAUUUGGCCUAAGAGUCGUGAAGGCAUAAUGACCCACCCUAGGUUUUGCUCUGGAUAAAGCUCCUAAAAGAGUACUUUUACCAGCAUUUGGCAUUCCAACGAGGCCCACAUCAGCAAUGCUUUUCAGUUCCAGCAAAAGAACAGCCUCUGAGCCAGGCAACCCACUGCUAAGGCAGGAUUGAUCCUCACUGGACAUAUCAGGAUCCAAGACUAUAUCCCUAUUGACUCCAGGCUUACUUAACUUGGCCUUCUUUGAAACAUCAGGAGAAGACACAUUACCCAAACCACCCUCCCCUCCACGAGCAACAAUUAUUUGCUGACCCAGAUUUGUUAACUCUGCAACAUCAUAGUGUAUAUGUUCCACAUCUGCUGGCUCUCUUUGAAUGGCUUGUAUGCUUGCAAAUUCCUCUGAAGUUCCUUUAGCUUGUGUUAAUGAGCCACCAGAAAUAUCCGAUGGCUCAGCUUCUUUUUCCAUGUUUGUGCUCUUAGAGAUGGACUGCCAGUGAGAUUCUGAUUGAUCGGUAUGGAGAGUGCCUGGAAGUUCCCACGGGUCCAAGUCUGUUUUGGAACAGUUUUGGACUGUAGAUGGAAGUUCACCCUUCAAAAGAUGAAUUACAGUGCCGAUAGGUACUUGCACAACCUACUAUACACGAGUACUCAUGGUUAGAUAAACUGCCAAACAACAGGUGGCAUCAUAAAAUCUUGCCGUUUAUAGAACUUAUAAAUAGUAACCUUAUCCUCCCCUCGAGUUCCUAUCAUACUCUUUGAAGCUCCAUUCCCCCCUCUCACUGCAUUCUAUACAAUAAAGGCAGAACUUGAGUGUCCUCAUGCAAUAAUACUAGUAGUGUUGAAAAAAUACUGGAAAGGUAAGGACUACAUACAACAUGAUGGUGUAAACCACUAAAGUCCCAGAUUGCAGGGGAACACUCUAAAAUCACAUCACCACCUCUUCCACCAUUUCCACCUGUAUUAUUGAAUCCACAUGAACCAGAAUGCUACCAUAAAGACUGUUUCACAAAUUUUAAUGCACUUGCUCUUAAUCACCAUGCAAUAAUCAGCUACAUUUAUGAAGUUCAACGGAAAUAAUUACGAUGAAAGGGAAAAAAUUGAACCCAGUAUGAAGAUUGAGAAACUAGAUAAAUUAUGAUCAAAGAAAAAUAACCAUGAUAAUAUUGUAUCCACUUGGUUUAUAGUAUCACAUCUAUCAUACUUAAUGCUGUUAUAAAACUUGAUCUAAUAAACAUACCAUCAGGUCUGCCACGGCGAUCAUGUCGACUUCGGCGAAAACUGGAGCAACCAUUGCCACCAUCACCUCCCUUAGCAUGUAGUGUAAACCUAUCUCUCAUACUGGUUUCCUACAAAUAGCCCCCUAAUAAUCCUUUACUAAGAUGAACAAGUAGUAAAAAAAAUCAAGAAAUGAUUACACAGAAUUAUGUGAAGCUAUUAGGGUUAUAAAAAUGUGAGAAAUAGGGAAGAAACAAAUAGAGUGGCAGACCUGCAAAGGGGCACACUUUGCUUUUGUGUGAGUAGCGUCUGAACAAGAGAACAAAGACAAAUAGAUCCAUGGAGAUUUAGAAGAUUUUCUCAAGGCAUCUAUGUGGCAAAAGGAUUUUGCGCCGCGUAACCACAUCAUUCUCUCUUUCCUGUCUAGAUAUCCUUCAAAUCCUCCUCAAAUGGAAAAAGUUGGCAUUCAAUUUUUUGCUUAUCUCAGCAACCUAUAGAAAGAAAUAUCUUAGAUACUGAACCAGCAACAGAGACAUUCCUGGAAAAUUGUAAACCAAACCAUGCCACAAUGCAGAUGCUGAACAUGACCCAUACAAGAUAACUAAAGAAAUUGAUAUUUACAGCACUUCACAGCCAGUUCCAACAAAAAGAAUCCGCCUUCCUUUAUUAUAACAUGUCCAGAUAAUCAUAAAAACACAAUAAGCAUCACUUUUAACAAUCACAUUUACCAAAAUUUGCUAAAUUGUCAGUUGCAAGCAAAGUAAAAGCUUUAGUAAGCCCAACGACUUGUGCCAUAAACAGACCAACAAUUGAAACAAUAUGCUAGAAAGGAAUUUGAGAUAACCAAAUAAAAGAUGAAAUAAUCAGGAAUGAGCACAUACAGGCAUCUAAAGGAAACAGACAUUCAAAACAUUCAUCAAAUCAACAAUCAACAAGAAAUUGAAUUUUAACAACAGAGAGUGGAGAAGGCUAAUAUGGUGUAUUUAACACAAAAUGAAAGAAACUAAAAGACCAAAUUGAUUGAACUUACAUUCAUCUAAAACCCUUGAAUAAAACUUUCUUUCAGUUUACAGAAAAAAAAAAUUGUUUAGUGAUAAUGAAAACUAAUGGGGUCAAAGGAAAAUGUCCAUUGUUAAAAGAAUUGAACCCAUUCAUAGGAUUCCACACCAGGCCUUGGAAGGAGUCUCCUUGGCCAUGGUUCUAACAUUAAUGACCAUUCUAAUGCCACCAAUGAGCUUUGGUUUGAUAUUAGGGUAAUCAGCUUGAAACAUAAAAAAAAGGAAGAAAGAAAUAACCAUUCUAAUGCCGUAGGGAGCCAGAGAUUUUAUGGUUACUGUUAGGAUCCCGUGUAGGAUCUAGUUGUGGGUUGUGUAACGAGUCUUUUGGCAAGAUAGGAGAAAAUAAGGAUGGAUUUUCUUUUUGAGAUCUAUUUUGAAAAGCUGUCAGGCUUAUUAGGGAGAACAUAUAAUCUCUUGAAUUUAAAGUAUUCAAAAACUUUUUUGAAAUUCUUUUAGCUAACGUUUAUUAACCUGCUGUCAACUUAAAUACAAGUUGGACCCCCCUAAAAAAUAAGAACUUAAAAUAGCAUAAUAGAGGCUAACUUCCUACAAAUCAGAAUUUGAAAAUAACUAAACAAAAUAUGCAAAGAACUAAAUAACUAAACAAAAUAUGAUGAUAACAUCAUAAGACCCAUGAUCUUAGCCACUAUCCAUUACUAUGCAUAAACUCAUAAUCUAUGCCACUAUCCAUUGUUGAAUAACUAUCCAUUAUUGCAUCAAUGACGAAGAAUCAGUUGAAAUGGUGGUUUGCUAACAUUAGUCCCCUCUUCCACUAUGCACUUGUCUUCAAGUGCAAGCUUAGGAAAUUUCUAGGAACUAUUUAGCCAGUGGCUGGUCCAUUGUGACAUCUCCUGGUCAUCAUUUGCUAACUCCAACUAACUCCAACCAGAAUAGUUUUUUGCACCCGUUUUUGAAAUAUUCCCAUGUCAAGUUCGGAUAGUCUUGUAACAAUUGUAGGAACUAUAGUUGUGUUAUACCCUCCAAGUGAAAUGAAGCUAGAUUAACCUUCUUCUCUUCUGAAGUUUGUUAAUGUUGGAAAAAAUGAUCAUAUCUGUUGAGCCACCCUAAAGGAUCCUCCCAUCCAUUGAAACAGGUAAAUUUUGAAACAAUGGUACUUCUACUUGAAUUUUCAGAACCUAUUACUCCUUUGGCCUUUUGGGUGCGAGAGUGACUACCAAUUUUUGUGAGUUGUGCUGAAUUGACAAUAUCACAAGUGAGAGCUUCUAAUUUUUAAUUUAAUUCAUCAUGCCAGGCCUUAUUGGCUGCUUGCUCUUCUAAGAACAAGGUGAGAAUUCUGCCUAAUUGUUGCUGGAUAGAGUCCCCAUAAUCUCUAGCUCUGAUACCAAAUUGUUAGGAUCGCAUGUGUAGAAUCUAGUUAUAGGUUUGCAUGAUGAGUCUUUUAGCAAGAUAGGAGAAAGCAAGGAUAGAUUCUCUUUUUACAAUCUAUUUUGAAAAGUUGUCAAGCUCGUCUGAGAGAACCUGUAACCUCUUCUGUUUAUUCUCAAAGACUUUUUGAAAAUUUUUCUUAACUAACGUUUAUUAAUAUGCUAUCAACUUAAAUACAAGUUGGAGUUUUAACUACCUUCUAACAAAUAGAAACUUAAAAUAGCACAAUGGAGACUAACCUCCUACAAAUCAGCAUUUGAAAAUAACUAAACAAAACAUAGUGGUAACGUCAGAAAACCCGUGUUCUUAGCCACUACCUAUUACUAAUGCAUAAAUCCAUAAUCUACGCCACUACCCACUACUGAAUAACUAUCUACUGAUGCAAACUACCCAUUGUUGCAUCAGUGACGAAGAAUCUGUUGAAUUGGUGGUUUGCUAAUAGUUACCUACUGAAAUUCAAGCAUUUUUUUAAUGGCACAACAAUGUUCUUCCACCUUCUUCGAAACCAAGGGAUGGAAAGGAAUUCAUCAUGAUGAUUGAAAGACAAUUAUCAACGUUGAUACAAUACUCAGAGAUACUUCUGGCUUGACUUUUAGCAGCUGAGCAGCACACAAAAGACAGGAAUGUUGUCGUAUUAUUGUAAACAAGUUCAAUUCCAUCCGUGAAUCAAUUCUAGAUUGGGUAUUUGAUUUAUGACUAUAAAGGUGGAUAUUUCAUUGCGAAUUAGCAAGAAUGGGUUUUAGAUGGUUUGCUUUCAGUAAUUGUGUUUGCCAUAUUAUCUUCACUCGGAACUCAAGAGUCAGUCCAUAGCCAAUACAGGUAAGCAGUGCUCAGUUCAGUCCAGACUAAAAAUGAGUAAAAAGCUGAAUCUAAUAGAAAAUAAAAUCAAACCUAACAAAGUGAAAAAAUUAUCUCAACUGGUUUAGUUUGGUUUGGUUCAUCUGUUUUACUUUUUCUUAUCUAUUUGCAGAACCCAUUUUCCUUUAGAAAAGGAAAAAAAUUAUACAAUACUCCCUGUACACUAAAAAUUAGUACUCAUCCUCAUAAAAAAUUAGUUAUUUCUAAAAUAAAAAAGUGGCCUUAUAUAAUUGUGCUUGUGCAGCUGGAGCUGUUAAUAAUCUCUCUUAGAGAAGAUCCAAGCAACAAAAUAGCAGCAAUUUCAGCUUUCAACUUAAACAUAGAAUACUGUCUAUGUCUAGUUCUAACUGAGCUCAGAACAGAGCAUGUCAGAUACUAUAGUUGUACACAUAAACAGCAAUCCAUCUUGUCAUUUUGAUUACGAUAUUUGAAUUUUUACAAGGAAAACAAACAAAACACAGCGAAAAUCUAAACCGAAACAGCAGAACCUCAGCUCAAUAUCGCACACAAGACUCGAAGCUCAAAGAAAACUUGAGAAAUGAUUCAGAAAAUUGAAAGAAAAUCUGGGUAGAGAAGUGAAGCAAAUGAGGAAAAGAGUGUUGUCAUUUUAAAGAUGCCACAAAGGAAUUGAGUGAAACCAGAAACAACAAAGGGAAAUGAUCGAUGAAACAACUGAACUUGGAGAGCCACAGGCAGAAAAUAUGAACACUGGAGCUGCUUGUGUCGUUGAUGGAGGUAGUCGAGUUCAGAGGCCGAACAAGUGGUCGUUCGAGAGAAGAUAUUGAGAAAGGGAAGGACAAUUGUUUGAGCACUAGAACGAGGAGACUGCAAUAUCGUCGAGGGGAGAGAUGGAGGGAAGGUUGCAGGGCAGCGGCUUGGUGCAAUCAGUUGAGUUCCUUAUUUUUAUAGACCAAUCGAAGUAAUAAGUACAAACUAGAGAAAUUUUACUUUUUUGGUUUGCAUUAAUCCGCUAGAAGUGAGCUUCAUCUGUUCUGCACUCCUAUAAUAACUGUAUAAUUAUAAUUGGUGUAAUGAUUCACUCAUUAGCAAAACCCUUUAAUCGAUUAAUUAACUAAACCAAGUCUAGCUGUCUAGGAACAAAAAAAAAUCCAAUAUUUUGCAAAUUGAAAACUUAUUAUGAUCAUAAAAUAUCAUAAGGCACGAAAUUGUAUCCAAGUAUACCAGACCAGAGGCA
rnacentral:lncRNA from 1 species